AUCUCUUGCUAGAAAUUCCUGCCUACCUGAGGCCUUCCAAAGAGUCACUCUCAGAUGUGGAAGGCAAAGAGAUGGAUACGGUGAAUUCCAGUUCAUGUGGCACAGUGAAGCAACCUGCCAUUCAGUAGCAGACAGUGAGAUGCUCUCUUCUCUCACCAAUGGGAACAUCAGCCUGGGGUUACUGCUCCCUGGAAGCAGGAGGAGGAUUAACGAAUUAAAGAAUGGGAAAUGUCCCCAAAAGGCAAAAAUCCUUCUUUGGCUUUUCACAUCAGUAUCCCCAAAAUGUUUUUGGAGCCAUAACUUACCAUACAUACAAUAACGGAAUAAUAUAAUAGGAACCUCUGCCAUCAGAAGAAAAACAGUGAAAACACAAGAGAAGGGAGUUAAGAAGCUCUGGAUACAAGAUUUUUGUUAACCCUACUCGGUUGCUGUAACAAGCUAGAGCCCUGAAUGUGGACCAUCACCUUCCUGCUGGAAAGGCCCAGGGAAUCAGGGAAUCCAAAGGAGUUGAAACCAUUUGUGUUGUUAAAAGCUCACGCCUCUGGACAUUAUGUAUAAUGCUGUAGAUGCAAAGUAGCAAGGCAUUUGCAAGGAGUUUCAUAUAACAUACAUGGAAUUAUUUGUAUUUUUUUCAUUCUGUCUUGCAAACCCUUUUCCUAGUACUUAGAAGCAAACUGCAUGGAUGUGUACACAUUUGCACCAUGUGUGAAGGUGAAUUAAUUACAGUGCAGACUGCUUGAGAUGAGAGUGAUUAUGGCAGAGGAAAUGCGCACCAUCUCUUCACUCGUGGGGAAAUUUGAAUCAGGCGGCCGUAACGAAAAAUCUUCUGGAGCUUCCAUUGAACUUGAAGAUUGAAGUGAGAACUUCUGUUUUUCUGGAAAGAGCAGAGGCUAAGUCUUUUGAGGUUUGAUAAUGGGCAAAGACAAUGAUUAGAAAGGCCUUGUUCCUCUCAUAUUUGAUAACAGAUCCCUCUGGUUCAAGGUGGUCAAGCUUCAGUAUUGCUGCUGCCUACCACUGUUCUCUCUCCUCUUCCAAACCAUGAGCUGAUGGAUUGGAUGCUGUGGAGCAAGGCAAAUGGAAGCCUUUAUAAAGAAACAGCAGGGGCUGGACACUUAUGGAUGAGGUGUAUUGAGAAUUACAUCUAGUCUGAUGAGUGCAUGACAGCCUUGACUGACCUAUACUGGUGAUGGUCCUGCUUUGAGUGGGAGAUUGGACGAAAUGACCUCUGGGAAUCCCUUAAAACCAGCACAGCUCCUGUCCAGGAGUCCUGAACUGGUAGAAGCAUGUGUUGUCUACAUCUACAAUAAGGUACAACUCCCCUAAAAUUAUGCUGAGUUUGGUGCUCUCUUACUCUUUCCCUAUCGCUAAAACUACCUUAGGACAGUUUAUGUCCUAAUGCUCAGUCAGGUGGGAAGGCUUUCCCUAGGUCUGUCCUUCAGCCUCCAGAAAUGUCUACAGAGGAAGUGGCAGUGGAGAAAAGCUUGAAUUUUACAAUUGCUUCUUUAGAAAAAUAAAGGCUGCAAUCUCAAACCCGUGCCUGUACGUGCUGUCAGGUGACUGUGAAAGGACAGACAUUUUUUGGAACUCCGGUUACAACUCUGAUUUCUUUUGCCAGAAAAACAGUAGUGGUAACAUUUGAUUUGCAAAUCUGGCACACAGGCACCAGCCCAGUUGAAAACAAUCAACAGAAGCCAUUUCCUCGGUGCAAGUAAAUAUAUUGACAUGUGUUGACAAUAAACUGAUUUUGUGUACUUUUGGAAAGGCAGAGAGCAUCCCAUAUUUUAACUGCUUAGCUCCUCUGAAAGACUAUAUGGGAAAAUAUCUUUCGCAGGCUAUAGAAGGCUGUUCAUCUUUCAUAUCUCCGGAGUAGUCAUGAUUUCCUCUAAUUAUAAUAAUACAAUUUUUACGGAAUAUUCAUGCUAUACUGAGCAUGACAAUAAUAUAUUAAAAAGUAUGCAUAAAGCAUAUGCUUUAAGAUAUGUGAAGGAGUUAGGAUUGUUAAAUAAUAUAUUUUUUUAACCUGUUACUUCCAUUAUUUCCACUUAAAAUACAUAAAUUGUUAGUAACGGUUUGGAAACCAUUUGUCAUCUUUGUUUUAAGGCAUUCGUGUCUUGCUGAAUGAAUAAACAGCAAAACUAUCCUUUUACUAUUGUCAACUGUUAAAAAUAAGAGACUUUGUACUCUUAUUGACUCUGUAACUGAGGCUCCAACUCAGCGAGACCCUAAAUUCAGUUUCACCACUCUUGCUUUGAGACACAUUCACGGGUGGGCAAGCACUGGGGUGCUGCAUGAAUGUGAAGCACCUGCUUCACCCAGUCCUCUGGGCAGCCCCAGGUGGGCAACCAUGCCAGCAGGGAGGGCUCCCGCAGUGCUUUCCCUGUCACCUUCCCUGGGCUCCUUUUAUAGCUUUGAGGAAUCAUCAAAUUAGGUGCAGACUUGUCCGACAGAUUUAGGAAGCAGACCCUGAGAGUGUCGCUUGUGCUUAGUGGGUUUUCUGGCACGGAGCAGAACAAGGAAAGGCUUCUGGAUCCUGCCCAGGUCUCUGCUGGAGCUUCACAAGCCACAUGGUGCUGCAAAGGAAGCAGAGGCUGCAGACCCUUCCACCGGCACUCACCCGUCAGCAUGAGGUUGUGGCAGCACAUCUAUAUUAAACAGAAAUUGGAACAAAUCCCUUAAAUAGCUCUUCUUCUUUGUAGGGCCGUUGUGCCUGUGUGCCUUUGGGUUCCCAGCUGCUUAGGUGGAGGGAGAAUACCAGUGAGUUUUGCAAAGAGAUACGUUGUUGUAACUGAAAUGCUCGCUUCUAGUUUUGGGCAGCAUUUAAAGGCAAGGGAAGCAGACUGAGCAGGUGUGUUAUCUGAGGUGGGGAGUCUCUCUGCAGAAAACGAGCCAUCCUAGCUCCAUAGGGAUCAUUAGCCGUUUCCUGACAAGCAGAUUUUCCAGUACCUCCCAGCAUCUCACUCCAGCUCUCAUCAGCGCUGCAGCUUUGUCAGGGGCUCUUUUCUACGGCAGUGCGGCGGUAUUUCCCUCUUCUCUUCACCAAAGAAUGGAAAAAUUACUCAGUACGAUAAAACAGGUUUUUACCCACUUUGACUUUUGUAGACUUGUGCAUUACAGUCUGGCUUAGAACAUGAACGUUAUAACCCCCUGGUGAAAUUCUCACUCGCAAAAGGGAUGCAGUCCUGGGAUAGUUGCUCGCCGCAGUUGUCACUGCCUGGCAAAGAGCAAUGCGUGCAGUGCUGCUGCGCUUGGAUGCACUUGCAGAGACAAAGACCGGGUGUCAGCCUCUGCCUGGGAAGUCAGAGACUUGGUGGCUCUUGUGCCGGAGAGAUGAGUUUAAAUAAAAACAGCAUUUCCAACGCAGGCUCUUCAUAAAGAGAUCAGCGUCGUGGCAGCUGAUGACACCACUGCACGCGGGGUUAGCAGUGACACGCUGACACCUUACGAAGAUUUUUCCUCAUUUCCUUAAUUACUGCUAACAUAAGCAGCCAAAUCUGCACCCGUUGUAAUUGUAUUUACGCCAUUAGCUGCUAGUAUUGCCUGGAAAUGUUUGUGGAUGGAAACAGACACUGAGUGUGCGGGCAGGCUGUUUGCUAAAGGCAUUAAUGUACUAAUUAAUGAAGUGCCAAUGCACCUAUUUAGCACUACUUCGCUAACACUGUGUUUAAGCCUAGGCUUCAGAUGUUUGAUGUCGAGGAUGCUGCUAACACCAUGCUGGACUGCCACAUAAAGCUGCAGCGAGCCACUCUGCAUUGCUUUCUUGGUGCAAUGGCUUCGCAUGAGCUGCUACCCUUGGGAGACUGAGAGGCAUUUCCAUAGCACCGGGACGUAAGGAGCAUCUCAUCUUCAAAAAUUUGGAUCCACAUCAUUUUCAUCUGCGCUUUACAAAUUAGUUAGAACAGGUAUUGUGCUGCACAACUGAGUUUAAAUGUCUCUUCCCAUCCUUUUUAGGUCAUUUCAGUCAAAAUUAGCACGGUUUUAUACUGAACUUUUUGAAGAGUAAAAUUGAAAGAGGAAAUAUCUCCGUUUUCCUGAAGGAGUUUCAGGUAAAGGUAUGGCUGCGGAUAAAUAUAGGGAAAAUCCUACAGAAAAUAUUCCAGCUUCCACUGUUUGCACUUUGUUCUGUCUAAAAAGGAAGACAGUUACUGAAAAAGAGAUUUGUCUUUUGCCAGCGCCCCCACAUUUCAGAAUCGAUUGUCAUUGGAAUGAGUUGUAGAAAAAGCAAAAGUUGAGCCGCCUCUCAUUUCGAGAUGCCUGAGCAGAAGUUCCUUGGUGAAGAGAAAGAAUAAAAGUGCCUUUGAAGCCCCAGGCUGAGGGGAAUAAUGGUACCGCGUCGUCUCUAAGGGUCUGCCCCAGAGAUUACGCUUUAAUUUAGGGCAGCUUCGCAGGGCGUACUCCCUCUCAUCUCCCUGGGUACCUCCUUAAAAACACCCAUUUUGCCUCAUUUACUGCCCUCUGCAAAUUGCCAUGUACUCUAUGAGGGCACUUUUCCCCAGCGCAGCCCUGACCUGCGGCAGCAGAAGAGCGCGGUGCGUGCAGCCUGCUUACAAACAGGGAGAAGGGUGCAAGCAGGCUGAGAGUCAGCAGCUGCACAAUUUCUGCUCAUGUUCAAAUGGAAAGCACUUGAUGAAAUACAUAAUUUGCCUGGA